UCUCGGCUCUUGCAUCGAUGAAGAACGUAGUGAAAUGCGAUACUUGGUGUGAAUUGCAGAAUCUCGUGAACCAUUGAGUCUUUGAACGCAAGUUGUGCCCGAGGCCUUUUGGUCGAGGGCACGCCUGCUUGGGCGUCAUGGCAUCGUCGCCUUUGCUCCUUGCUU
rnacentral:rRNA from 1 species